GUUAGAUACAUCUGGUGACAGUGUGAGUACAAUUGUAGGGAGGCAGGUACGUCAAGAAGUGAUCCUGCGAUAUUUUACAGAUAACUGAGGUGAUCUGGCCUCAUCACUCUGCGAACUCGCCAAUAGUGCCAGUGGUGGCUGGGGUGACACUGCCGAUAGUCUUCGCCUGGGUGGGGAUGAUGGAGGUGCAGAAUCAGAGCCAAGACGCCGUGUCUUAGUUGGCCUCCUGGAAUAUGUGACUACAGUGAAGACUUACCUGCAAUACCACCAUCAUCCUGACUGGUCUGAGGCCUGUCUGGCCGGCUGGUCUGUGUGACUGUGGAAAAAGUGACCCCAACAUUAUUACCAUGUUUUUUGGCAAAUGAACCAGUGAAAACCAUUA